GACGAACGCUGGCGGCGUGCUUAACACAUGCAAGUCGAACGGAAAGGCCCUGCUUUUGUGGGGUGCUCGAGUGGCGAACGGGUGAGUAACACGUGAGUAACCUGCCCUUGACUUUGGGAUAACUUCAGGAAACUGGGGCUAAUACCGGAUAGGAGCUCCUGCUGCAUGGUGGGGGUUGGAAAGUUUCGGCGGUUGGGGAUGGACUCGCGGCUUAUCAGCUUGUUGGUGGGGUAGUGGCUUACCAAGGCUUUGACGGGUAGCCGGCCUGAGAGGGUGACCGGCCACAUUGGGACUGAGAUACGGCCCAGACUCCUACGGGAGGCAGCAGGGGGGAAUAUUGCACAAGGGGCGGAAGCCUGAUGCAGCAACGCCGGGUGCGGGAUGACGGCCUUCGGGUUGUAAACCGCUUUCGCCUGUGACGAGGCGUGAGUGACGGUAAUGGGUAAAGAAGCACCGGCUAACUACGUG
rnacentral:rRNA from 1 species